rnacentral:rRNA from 1 species
AGCGAACGCUGGCGGCAGGCCUAACACAUGCAAGUCGAACGGACCCUUCGGGGUUAGUGGCGGACGGGUGAGUAACACGUGGGAACGUGCCUUUUGGUUCGGAACAACUCAGGGAAACUUGAGCUAAUACCGAAUGUGCCCUUCGGGGGAAAGAUUUAUCGCCAUUAGAGCGGCCCGCGUCUGAUUAGCUUGUUGGUGAGGUAAUGGCUCACCAAGGCGACGAUCAGUAGCUGGUCUGAGAGGAUGAUCAGCCACAUUGGGACUGAGACACGGCCCAAACUCCUACGGGAGGCAGCAGUGGGGAAUCUUGCGCAAUGGGCGAAAGCCUGACGCAGCCAUGCCGCGUGAAUGAUGAAGGUCUUAGGAUUGUAAAAUUCUUUCACCGGGGACGAUAAUGACGGUACCCGGAGAAGAAGCCCCGGCUAACUUCGUGCCAGCCGCCGCGGUAACAC